GGACCCGCACAAGCAGUGGAGCAUGUGGUUUAAUUCGACGCAACGCGAAGAACCUUACCAGCGUUUGACAUGAGAAGUGCCGGUUACAGAAUGGUAACCUUCAGUUCGGCUGGCUUCUACACAGGUGCUGCAUGGCUGUCGUCAGCUCGUGUCGUGAGAUGUUGGUUAAGUCCCGCAACGAGCGCAACCCUUAUCGUUAGUUACUAACAGUUCGGCUGAGGACUCUAGCGAAACUGCCGGUGAUAAGCCGGAGGAAGGUGGGGAUGACGUCAAGUCCUCAUGGCCCUUACACGCUGGGCUACACACGUGCUACAAUGGUAACUACAACGGGACGCAAUACCGCGAGGUGGAGCAAA
rnacentral:rRNA from 1 species